rnacentral:rRNA from 1 species
GAUAAACGCUGGCGGCGUGCCUAAUGCAUGCAAGUCGCACGGAGCGGCACUUCGGUGCCGUUGAGUGGCGAACGGGUGAGGAACGCGUGGACAACCUACCCGGCGUGGGGAGUACCCGCCAGAAAUGGCGGCUAAUACCGCGUACGGUCGCCCGACGGCGGGUCGGGCGGAAGAAAGACAGCGAUGCGCGUUGGGUAGGGGUCGUGCGGCCGAUUAGCUGGUUGGCGGGGUAGGUGGCCCACCAAGGCGAUGAUCGGUAGCUGGUCUGAGAGGAUGAUCA